rnacentral:lncRNA from 1 species
AAGUCUCUUGGUUUCUUCUGUGCACACCGCCUGCCUUGUAUCCAAGGGUUUGACUGUGCAGAAGCCAGUCAUACUGGGGGACCCUGAGCACUACACUUGGCAUUUGAGUAUAUCCUGAUCAAUAUAGCCAUUUCCACUACUUGACAUUAUGUUUUGGGGGCUAGUAUUUUAAAGAUCAAUGAUUGAAUUGCUGCUCAGCUGAUUGGAUAUGUCUUCUUGGAGACUCACCUGUCCUCCCCGAAGAGAUGCUGACUGCACAACGGCAGUCACUGUGCUGGGCACACGGGCAGUGUUCAGGAGACGUGGCUUCCUUUCUUCUUCUUUCAUUUCUUCCUGCCCAGAACCGCAAGGCUGAGACUGAUAAUAAAAUUCCUGGAACAUGGAGAAACUCAUGUGGGGAGAAAAGAAGAAAUGUAUUGUGACUUCCAUGGGCUUUUGGCACUUUUGGACCUCCCUCCUCCUCUUUUCCAUAAAAAAUGUAUUUUAAGACAUAUUGGUAUAAAGAUGAGAUUAUUCAUAGUACAUAUUAAAAUGUUUUCCCCUACCUAAAA